CCUUGGAACUGCUUUUAAAACUGCUAACCUAGAGAUUGAAAGAGGAUAGAGGAAUUCCUAGUGUAGAGGUGAAAUUCGUAAAUAUUAGGAGGAACACCAGUGGCGAAGGCGUCUAUCUGGUUCAAAUCUGACGCUGAGGCGCGAAGGCGUGGGGAGCAAACAGGAUUAGAUACCCUGGUAGUCCACGCUGUAAACGAUGAAUGUUAAAUAUGGGAAGUUUACUUUCUGUAUUACAGCUAACGCGUUAAACAUUCCGCCUGGGGACUACGGUCGCAAGAUUAAAACUCAAAGGAAUUGACGGGGACCCGCACAAGCGGUGGAGCAUGUGGUUUAAUUCGAUGCAACGCGAAAAACCUUACCACUCCUUGACAUGGAAAUUAUACCUAUUCCGAAGGGAUAGGGUCAGGUUCCGCCGCGCGGCGUUUCACCACAGGUGUUGCGAUGGCUGCUCGUCAGCUCGUGUCGUGAGAUGUUGGGUAAAUAAGUCCCGCAACGAGCGCAACCCCUUCAUCCUUUAGUUACCAUCAGGUAAUGCUGGGGACUUUAAGGAAUACUGCCAGUGAUACAACUGGAGGAAGGGGUGGGGAUGAUGUCAAGUCAUCAUGGCCCUUAUGGAGUGGGCUACACACGUGCUACAAUGGUGGCUACAAUGGGCUGCAAAGUCGCGAGGCUAAGCUAAUCCCUUAAAAGCCAUCUCAGUUCGAAUUGUACUCUGCAACUCGAGUGCAUGAAGUUGGAAUCGCUAGUAAUCGUGGAUCAGCACGCCACGGUGAAUACGUUCUCUGGGUCUUGUACACACUGCCCGUCACGCCAUGGGAAUUGGUUUCUACUCGUAAGCUACGAGACGUUAGCUCGCUGGCUCUGCGAAGAAGUGGAGUCAUCAGCGAGUACG
rnacentral:rRNA from 1 species